GCAUUAGUGGUGUAAUGGUUAACAUGUGGUCUUCCCAUCGUUCUCUCAGAUCGUCUGCUGGCCGCGUUUGGGGUUCGAUUCCCCGCUGAUGCA